GCGGGUGUAGUUCAAUGGUAGAACUUUUGCUUCCCAAGCAAAUAGCGUGGGUUCGAUUCCCAUCACCCGCUCCA
rnacentral:tRNA from 27 species